GGGGAGGUACUCAAGCGGUCAACGAGGGCAGACUGUAAAUCUGUUGGCUAUUGCCUACGGAGGUUCGAAUCCUUCCCUCCCCA
rnacentral:tRNA from 1 species